GGGUGUGGGAGGGGGGUGGGGGGUGGGGGUGGGGGGUAUCGGGGAAACUGGGGAAGAUGGGAGAGCUGGAGGAGAGUCGUGGGGUCCGAGGAGCACCUCGGCAUCUGGAGUCUGGCAGGAAUGUUGAAGGACUGAGGGGCUAGCUCAGGCAGAGCAAAGGCAUCGCAAAGGCUGGAAAACAUCGGAGUGAAGCUGAAGGGCCUGAGCUAGGGUUGGAGAGGAAUGGGGAGCCAGACAUUCAUCCCGGUUACUUUUGGUUACAGGACGUGGCGGCUGGUCGGAUAAAGGGGAGCUGCUGGGAAGGGUUCGACCCCAGACCUGGGCAGUGAAGGUAUAGCUGGCAGCAGUGGGCAGGUGAGGACCGCCGUCUGCUGGGCAGGUGAGUCUCCUUCUUCUCUCUUGGCCUCGCUCCACUGACCUUCUAAACGAAGGUUUAGAGAGGGGGCCUGGUGAGAAGAAGCGGCUGGCCUCGCAGCAGAAUGGCACAUAGAAAGGCAGGAUAGUUAGCAAAGGAGACAUCGUCUCGGGGGGAGCCGAGACAGAAGGAGGCUGGGGGACCAUUGGCGACCCCAGGUGGAAAGAGCUCUUAGAGAGAAGAAAGAAGAGGUGCAGGGUUGCCAGUAAAGACUGAGGCCGCUGCCUCCAGGGAGGUGAUAGGAGUCCUUGGAGACAGUGGCAGAGACCAUGGGAUCCAGCAAGAACAGAAGCAUUCUAGGCUGGGGUCAAACAGGGCAAGAUGGGGUCACAAGACACAGAUGGGUCCCCAGCCGCCACAACAUCCCACCCACCGUAAUUCACUUAGAAGAAGGUUCAAGAGUGGCUCUGGCAAAGUCCCAAGUUUGCCAGAGCCUCAAUAACUGGAGAAUGGAAAAGAAGGGCAGUGCAGGGUGUCACCAGAAGGGGAGUGGGGGCUGCAGGUAUCGGACUCCAGAGGGAUUUUACAGCAAGGAGGCUGCAGUGGGUCCAGCCUGCAGACACACCAUUCCCAUGAGGCACUGCGGCCCAGGGACUGGUGCGGAAAGGGCCCACAGUGGACUUGGUACACUGUAUGCCCUAACCGCUCAGUCCCUGGGUCUGGCAUGACAGACAGAACAUUUCCAGGGGAGUCAAGGGCACAGGAUGAAGCCAGACGAGGCGAGGCAGGCGGGGCAGAAUGAAUGAGUUUCUAGGGAGGGAGGUUGGGUGCAGGUAGAGCGAGUAGCUGGGGUGGUGAGCCAGGGAGGCACUGGCCUCCAGAGUCCGUGGCCAAGGAGGGCCUUGCGGGCGGCGACGGAGCAGUGAUCGGUGUCUCGAAGAGCUCGGACUGGAGACUAGGCCAGGUCUCCAGCAGAGGUGGAUGUGCCUGCCAGUCACUGAAGGCGAGGAUGACAGGUGUGGUCAAUGUGACAGAAAGACAUGACAUGGUCCGGUGUGAUGGAGAGGACAGAAGGGCAGUCAUCCAGCCUUCUUGAGCUAACACUUCUCUGCUGCUCUCUGGAUCCUCCUCCCCCUACCUUGAACCCUCAAGAUGAAAGAAAUGGUGCUACCCAGCUCAUGUCUGGGCCUUUGAAUCCGGGGACUUCUUUAAGUCCGUCUCGUUCUGAAUCAAGAAGAUGCUGCAAUCAGAACCACUACACUACCUGCCUCAGGAAUCUGCUCCAAGGUGAAGCUGAAAGAACAGAUGGUGUCAACAUUUUGAAAGAGCAGACUCAUAGCACCCACCCACCCCUGAGAAUCCAUCUUCAUGGCCAACUCUGCCUGACCCGGGAGACCACCACCCACAUCAUCCUGGAGCCAAGCCUCUACCCCGGGAUGACUUCAUCAUCUCCCUCCUGUCUUUUUCUUCUUCCUCCUUUCCUGUAAUUCUGUUUCUUUCCUUUUGUUCCUUCCUUGCUUGAGAGACUCAAAGCACCCGUGACUCUGUUUCCCCAUUUACCCCCUUUUGAAUUUGCACUAAGUCGAUUGCACUGGUUUGGAGUCCCGGAGAUAGCUUUGAGUCUCUCCGUAUGAAUGUAUACAGCGAGUGUGUAAACCUCUUUGGCAAUGCUGCCCCAGUACCCACCUGUCGUCCAUCUCCGUCUGAGGGCAACUGGGUGUGGCCGUGUGCUUGAGGCCUCGCCUUCCCCUCGCCUAGUCUGGAAGCAGUUCCAUCAUAAAGUGUUCAACAUGCCCUACUUCAUCCUUUGCCCCUCCUCACCAGGGCCUCACCAGAGGUCCUGGGUCCAUCAAUAAAUACAGUUACAGUCA
rnacentral:lncRNA from 1 species